GAACCAUCCAGAAUAAAACAUGAAGAAACUGAGGAACAAAUAGAUCAGAUGGAAGUGAAAGAGCAAAGACAACAAAUGGAGAAAAUUAAGGAGGAACAUCAUGACUUUAAAAUUCGAGAAACAAAAGCCAAAAAGACGCACACCUGCACUCAGUGUGGAAAGAUUUUCAGUCAAAAAGGACACCUUAACGCACACAUGAGGAUUCACACUGGAGAGAAACCGUAUCCAUGCACUCAGUGUGGAAAGAGCUUCAGAGAAACGUCAGCUUUCCGUGUUCAUCUGCUCCGUCACUCUGGAGAAAAAACAUUUAACUGUGGCCAGUGUGGAAAAGAUUUUAUUUCAUCAUCAAAUCUAAACAAACACCUGAAAGUUCAUUCAGGCGAGAGGCCUCAUGUGUGUUCUGUCUGUGGAAAGAGUUUUUCAAGAAUGGAUCAUUUUAAACAGCAUCAGAAAACACAUAAUAAAGUGAAAUAUUAUGUGUUUUGACUGUGGGAAGAGCUUUACUACACCCACUCAACUGAAACGACACCAACGGAUUCAUACUGGAGAAAAACCUUUCAAGUGUUCAUAUUGUGACAUGAGUUUCACCUGAAAAACACAUGAGCGACUUCAUACUGGAAAGAAGCCCCAAUACUGUACUCUGGGUAGGGAUGGGUACCAAGAGCCGGUAUUUUUUUGGACUGGUUCAUAAUUGGGUCAAUACUGGACCACUGAUAAGCUUCAAGACAAAUUAUAUAUAUAUAUAUAUACUUGCAGUGUUUUAUCUCUGUAUACUUCUGUGUCAAUAGCAUGAAACAGAAAAAAACAUUGUGUCUUUAAAAAACAGUUGAAUUGUGAUUGUUUAAUGUAAAAACUUAAUUUAAUGUAAAACUUUUACUUCAGCAUCGAUUCUGAAAAGCACCUGGGGCCGAUUGCACCAUCUGGAUGUUCAUCCAGUCGUAAGACUAAGCUUAACAUAAAAUGCAUUUAAGUCCUACGUAGAAUUAAUAAAUGUUGCACCAUCUGGCUGUAGCGCAUGAGACUAAAAUUUACGCCUA